UUGGGGGGGGGAAUAGGGGGAAAUUUGGCAUUUAGCCCAGGGUUGGAGAGAGUCUAAAAGGACCCUUUUAAGGUGAGACUCUUCAUGGACUCUCUGCCACCUCAUGUUUUUGGCAUAAUGUUUUAUAAUAUUGAUACGGAAAUUAGUGUUAAACUAUGAUGUGGUUACUUAGUAGCUAAGAUAGUUAGCUGCUAUAUAUGGAAAGUUGUAAUAGAAAGCUGAUGUUGUUGUAAAUGUUGAAUAUUGUAAUAAAUACAUAUUGUUACUGUUACACUGAGUAAAAAGUGAAGUAGGGGUUCUAACACGUUGUUUUAAAAACUUGUACACACCCUCCAAGGGAUGAGACAAACAUUAUAGUAUUUGUUUAUAUUUUGCUUAUUUUUUUGAAAAAAACGAUAUUAUUUAUUUUAAAUAAGUGGGGGAGUGAGUUAAGUCUCACAAUGGACUAGUAAUAAGGUGAUUCAAAUUUUCCUUUUGCUCAUUUUAACAAUUAAAAAGUAUAAUGUUGGAAAUGUGCCAUAAAACCAAUCAUAUGAUGAUACUUUAUGGACAUUUCACAAGUUAAACUAACGUAGUUUAAAUAUAAAGGGCAAAGAUUAUUGUUUGAGCCGUCUCAUAUAAAUGUUAUAUACUUAAACGAUAAGUCCAAGGAAUAUGUGAUUGGGAGAAUGCAAUCUAAAGAAGUUAGAUUCAUGAGACCAUUCUUUCGUAGACACAUCCUAAACGUUCCUAAUCAUAGGAUUGCCAAUUGGGCAUUGACAGUCCGUUAAGAUCAGUACGUGCUGUGUCUUCUCUCAGGGAGAAUGACUAGUCUCGAGUCAUUGGUGUGUGUGACAUCAAGACAAGUACGUAGGUGCUCAAUAGAUAAUGAGUUUACUGAACACGAUCAACGAAGAGUUCUCAUAUUCAUGUCACAUGAGAACUCAUGGUUGGGAUAAUGCAAAGUAGUCCUUUGACCUGAGGCAUCAUAGUUGUCUUGUGGUUAAGUCCUUGAUCUUUGAUUAUGUCAAAGUCACUCCAUCAGGAGGGUGUCCACGGCAUAGUUGGGGUUAAGCCACUUAGUUAUGGAGGCAAGUGAAUGCGCAACAAGGGAUCUCUAACCUUCAAAUGGUUUGGGGGGGAAUACUCUAUGAUAUGAUUGAAAAUCUCUGAUCAGAGUAUGAAUGAGAUUUAGGAAGGCGUUCGAAAUCACAUUCAAGGUAAUCAUAUAAGCACACGAAUCACAUUGGAUAGUAGACAUGAAUAAACU
rnacentral:lncRNA from 1 species